rnacentral:lncRNA from 1 species
AAUGAAAGGAAGCUUCCAUCAUCAUACUUGAGUGGGUAGAAUUACCAUGGUGAAAUGAAACAGUUCUUUUGUAUUUUUAGGGUUAGGAUACAAUAAAAGGGGUAAAGAGGUAAAGGAUAUAGAGUAAAUGAAAGAACUGUGAGAACUUGGGGCUGAUUACUCCUUGACACUUUAACAGGAUUCUCAUACCUCAGGGAGGGUACAGAGACAAUUCAGGGGGUUUCUUGCAUUUCCUUUAGGUCAGGGUGCUUUAUCUGGGGAGAAAUUUUUUGGCUCAUGUCCAUUUUGAGGAUUAUAUUUCAUGCAGACAGAGGGAAAGAGUUGUGCUACUUUUUCUGUAAGUCUUAAUGUGUUCUUGUUGCAUGUUUCUCUCUUUCUCUCCAUAUCCCUUUCUCUCACCUCCGUUUCUUUCUCUCUCUCUCUUUCCUUUUCUCCCUCUAAUUUGAGGUCCUGGAAUAUGAGCCGGCUUUCAUUUCUAGCUGAGUCUGUCAUUUCCGCUAGGCCCCAGUUUGGCCAGAUGCCAAGACCAACAGGUGAUCCUUGUAGCUGCAAAACAGCAGGAAGUGGGCCCCGCUUGAAUGAGGCAGUUCACCAGAGGGGCUGUCUGGCCUCCCUCCAUCUUUCUGCAUAAUUAACACCCCCUCCCCCAUGCCGAGCAGAAAAUCUGUGCUGAGCAGCUGAACUGCAGCAGCCAUUGAGAAGCCUGCAAGGAAAAGAAUGUUAAUAAGGGAUGCUGGAAAAAAAUCAGCCUUUAGAGUGCAAAGUGCAGUUGGGCCUGGGAAGGGACUGGAACUGCAGUAUCUGUUUUGACCUGAUUCUCACUUGCUAACACUGAGGAGGAACUGAGGUUUUAAAGAACCUUGGAGCUGUUGGUUCCAACUGGACAUGGAAC